AUUGAACGCUGGCGGCAGGCCUAACACAUGCAAGUCGAACGAGUGGCGGACGGGUGAGUAAUGCUUGGGAAUCUGGCUUAUGGAGGGGGAUAACUACGGGAAACGGUAGCUAAUCCCGCGUACCAUAGGAUGAGCCCCAGUGGGAUUCGGUUGUUGGUGGGGUAAAGGCUCACCAAGCCGACGAUCCCUAGCUGGUCUGAUAGGAUGACCAGCCACACUGGUACUGAGACACGGCCCAGAAUCCUACGGGAGGCAACAGUGGGGAAUAUUGCCCAAUGGGGGCAAACCUGACGCAGCCAUGCCGCGUGGAUGAAGAAGGCCUUCGGGUUGUAAAGUACUUUCGGUGGCUAGGCGUUACCUGCAGAAGAAGCACCGGCUAACUCCGUGCCAGCAGCCGCGGUAAUUC
rnacentral:rRNA from 1 species